CACCCACGUCUCUCUCUCUCCCCCCUCUUCAGUCCUCACUCUCAUAUCCUCCCACUGAGAUUUGUAUCUCUUCAGCAACUACAGCAGCAAAAAGAACACGCCCAAUAUGGCCUCUCCUUGUACUUCCUCACUCUGCAUCACCACGCUGCUUCUCGCGGUCGUUUCUUGGGCAACAUCUGCUUCCGCCCGUAACUUCUAUCAAGACUUCGACGUUACCUGGGGAGAUGGCCGAGCUCAGAUCCUCAACAAUGGCGACCUCCUCACUCUCUCCCUCGACAAGGCCUCCGGCUCCGGCUUCCAGUCCAAGAACGAGUACCUGUUUGGCAAGAUUGACAUGCAGCUCAAGCUCGUUCCCGGCAACUCAGCAGGCACUGUCACCGCUUACUAUUUAUCUUCAAAUGGGUCGACGUGGGACGAGAUAGACUUCGAGUUCUUGGGGAACUUGAGCGGCGAUCCUUACAUUCUUCACACCAACGUGUUCAGCCAAGGCAAGGGCAACCGAGAGCAGCAAUUCUAUCUCUGGUUCGACCCAACUGCAGAUUUCCACACCUACUCCAUCCUCUGGAAUCCACAACGCAUCAUAUUCUCAGUGGACGGGACUCCGAUCAGAGAGUUCAAGAACGCAGAGUCGAUGGGUGUUCCCUUCCCCAAGUCCCAGCCCAUGAGGAUAUUCUCGAGCCUCUGGAACGCGGACGACUGGGCGACCAGAGGCGGGCUCGUGAAGACGGACUGGACCCAAGCGCCCUUCACCGCUUCCUACAGGAACUUCAACGCCGACAACGCCUGCGUUUGGUCAUCUGGUUCAUCGUCUUGCGCUUCAUCCUCAUCUUCAUCUUCUUCGGAUGGUAAUACAUGGCUAUCGGAAGAGCUCGACUCAACAAGCCAAGAGAGGCUCAAGUGGGUGCAAAGCAACUACAUGAUCUACAACUAUUGCACGGAUGCCAAAAGAUUCCCCCAAGGCCUCCCACCUGAGUGCACCAUGUCCUAGACGGCACAAGACAUAGAAUUUUUCAGAAAAUCCUCUUCUUCUUUUUUCCUUCUUUUUCUUCUUCUUUUUUUCCUUCUUUUCAAUUCUUUUAUUCGUUAAGCUGCUAUCUGUGGUCAAGAAGCAACUGAUAAUUCUUUUAUUCUUUGACAUUUGUAACAUUCCUAUCUUUACUCAAUAAACACAAUAUUAUCUUGGACUU